CGGAGGUACUCGAGUGGCGAACGGGUGAGUAACACGUGGGUGAUCUGCCCUGCACUCUGGGAUAAGCCUGGGAAACUGGGUCUAAUACCGGAUAGGACCACGCUUUAGUGUGUGUGGUGGAAAGUUUUUUCGGUGUAGGAUGAGCCCGCGGCCUAUCAGCUUGUUGGUGGGGUAAUGGCCUACCAAGGCGGCGACGGGUAGCCGGACUGAGAGGUUGGUCGGCCACAUUGGGACUGAGAUACGGCCCAG
rnacentral:rRNA from 1 species